GACGGAACUCUUCGGAGGGAAGGCAGCGGAAUGAGCGGCGGACGGGUGAGUAACACGUAAGGAACCUGCCUCAAGGAUUGGGAUAACUCCGAGAAAUCGGAGCUAAUACCGGAUAGUUCAACGGACCGCAUGGUCCGCUGAUGAAAGGCGCUUCGGCGUCACCUUGAGAUGGCCUUGCGGUGCAUUAGCUAGUUGGUGGGGUAACGGCUCACCAAGGCGACGAUGCAUAGCCGACCUGAGAGGGUGAUCGGCCACACUGGGACUGAGACACGGCCCAGACUCCUACGGGAGGCAGCAGUAGGGAAUCUUCCACAAUGGACGAAAGUCUGAUGGAGCAACGCCGCGUGAGUGAUGAAGGUUUUCGGAUCGUAAAACUCUGUUGUAAGGGAAGAACACGUACGAGAGGUAAUGCUCGUACCUUGACGGUACCUUACGAGAAAGCCACGGCUAACUACGUGCCAGCAGCCGCGGUAAUACGUAGGUGGCAAGCGUUGUCCGGAAUUAUUGGGCGUAAAGCGCGCGCAGGCGGCCUUUUAAGUCUGAUGUGAAAGCCCCCGGCUCAACCGGGGAGGGCCAUUGGAAACUGGAAGGCUUGAGUACAGAAGAGAAGAGUGGAAUUCCACGUGUAGCGGUGAAAUGCGUAGAGAUGUGGAGGAACACCAGUGGCGAAGGCGACUCUUUGGUCUGUAACUGACGCUGAGGCGCGAAAGC
rnacentral:rRNA from 1 species